rnacentral:rRNA from 1 species
CCCUUAGAUGUUCUGGGCCGCACGCGCGCUACACUGACGAAGUCAGCGAGCAUGUCCUACGCCGACAGGUGCGGGGAAUCUUGUCAAACUUCGUCGUGAUGGGGAUUGAUUUUUGAAAUUCUUGAUCAUAAACGAGGAAUUCCUAGUAAGCGCAAGUCAGCAGCUUGCGUUGAUUACGUCCCUGCCCUUUGUACACACCGCCCGUCGCUACUACCGAUUGAAUGGUUUAGUGAGAUCUUCGGAUUGGCGCCACUGCAGCUCAGCAAUGGGCUUGGUGGAUGCCGAAAAGUUGAUCAAACUUGAUCAUUUAGAGGAGGUAAAAGUCGUAACA